GUCAUAUGAAUAAAACCGAGUACUUGCUCAUGCUCAACCCGAUUUGAACGAAGUAAAGUCUCUGAGCAUUUACUCAAAACGGUAUGAAUAAAACGAUACUUUGCUCAGAGUAAGUUCGAAUUUCGAACUUAGCAUUUACUCUGUCAAAAAUGUUGUUUUGUUUUGACCCGCGAGGAAAAAGAAUCCCUGCGGUGGAACAAUUUAGUGCCUUUGUGGAUCUUUUCCGUCUUUUUUGUUGUUGCCGGCUGCUGGAGCCAUACACAAAAACGGGAAAAACAAAUGCUGCAGUGUGACGAUAACUGAUUCGUCCGCGCAUCGAUCCUACAUUGCUCCGCAUAAGCCACCGAUGAAUGUAACCGGUCCGUACGCAACGCAUCGAUGGGUAGAGAGCCAACAGGUGUCACAAGUUUAAUAAUAAGCAACACGAGUCCCAGCGGCGCAGCAACAUCAAAAAACGAAAGGGAAACCUCAGUAUUGAUAGCAGUUGUUUGACCAGUAGUGAAGAAGGAUCCAUGGGCCAAAGCAAUGGGCCCGUAUUCAACGUUAAAAUGCCGUAGAGUUCUGAUUGAAAUAAUAUACGAAUUAUGCUGCAAAA